rnacentral:tRNA from 2 species
GGAGAGGUGGCCGAGUGGUUGAUGGCACCGCUCUCGAAAAGCGGCAGGUGAUGAGCCUCGUGGGUUCGAAUCCCACCCUCUCCGCCA